CAGGGAGACAAAAACUGAUUAUUUUUCCUAAUAAAAAAUUUAGGAGAUAAUCCUGUCACCUUAGGUCGAUCGGUACCUCUGAUUAAGAGGAUAGAAAAUGAGAAAUCAAUUUUUAUUUUUAUUAAUUUCAGUUCCUAAACUUGUCUAGGUCACACCCAACAAACUUUCUUCUGGGCUAUUAGCUCAGGUGGUUAGAGCGCACCCCUGAUAAGGGUGAGGUCCCUGGUUCAAGUCCAGGAUGGCCCAUUCGUUGUUGGGGGUAUAGCUCAGUUGGUAGAGCGCCUGCUUUGCAAGCAGGAUGUCAGCGGUUCGAGUCCGCUUACCUCCACUGAUCAACUACCUGAUAACUCGAUUCAAGGAGAUUGACAUUUGUUAAAUGUGAUUUAGACGUUGUUCAACUGAUUGAACCUAGCUUCCUAUCACUCUUAGGUAAUUAAAUUUAUUUUGAUUGAUAAGACGCUGGGCUCACUGUGGUUUUAAUUAAUCACAGCUUAAGUUCAGUAGAACCUUGACAACUGCAUAAGUGAGUCUGGAAAGAAAAAGCAUCUAACUAUAGAUGUCUAAUUCCAUUAGUAAAGUUUUUACUAAUAGAUUUUAUAUACAAUUCUAAUUUUCAAGAGCCGCUAAUCUUAGCUUUUAAAGUUAUACUAAAUUGAAUUAUUUUUUAGUUCGUUUUUAUAAGUGUUAAAGGCAAUUUAAAUAGAUUAAU
rnacentral:tRNA from 1 species